rnacentral:rRNA from 1 species
AACGAACGCUGGCGGCGUGCCUAAUACAUGCAAGUCGAACGCGAGCGACCGGUUCUUGCACUGGUCAAUCUAUUGGCGAACGGGUGAUUCACACGUGGGUAACCUGCCCACCAGAGGGGGAUAACAAUCGGAAACGGGUGCUAAAACCGCAUAGGUCCUUUAACAGCAUGGUUGACGGGGGAAAAGAGGCGCAAGCUUCUGCUGAGGCAUGGACCCGCGGUGCAUUAGCUAGUUGGUGAGGUAAUGGCCCACCAAGGCCGUGGUGCAUAGCCGACCUGAGAGGGAGGUCGGCCACAUUGUGACUGAGACAGGGCCGAAACUCCGGCGGUAGGAAGCAGUAGAGAAUCUUACGCGAGGGAGGCGAGGCUGACGGAGGAACGCCGCGGGAGUGAAGAAGGUUUUAGGAUCGGAGAACGCUGUAGUUAGAGAAGAUCAAGUGCUAGAUUAACUGGUAGCGCCUUGACGGUACCAAACGAAAAAGCCACGGCUAACUACGUG